ACCUUCGACAAGAUCUUCUCGAUGAAUGGUUGUGGCUUCCAGAAGUUGAACCAAGCACUUAUUACUCUCCUCCCCAAUAGGGCCGACACUUCCAGCUUGUCCGACUAUCGCCCUAUCAGCUUGAUCCACCUAGUUGCGAAGCUUUUCACCAAGGUCCUGUCCUUGCGCCUUGCUCCGAGGAUGGCAAGUCUGGUGUCCACCAACCAAAGUGCUUUCGUCGCCGGCCGUGGCGUCCAUGACAACUUCUUGCUAGUCCAGCAAACGGCGCGGUUGCUGCACAACCUCAAAGCCCCUCGGGUCCUCCUCAAUCUUGACAUAGCCCGCGCUUUCGACACGGUCUCCUGGCCCUUCCUCCUUGAGACGCUGUCGCACUUGGGCUUUGGGCAGCGCUGGUGUGCUUGGAUCUGCAUGCUGCUCUCAACUGCUUCCACUCAUGCGCUUGUCAAUGGCAACCCGGGGCCCCCAAUUCAGCAUGAGCAAGUGAUACGUCUCCAACGUAUCUAUAAUUUUUGA
rnacentral:rRNA from 1 species